GCCGUGAUAGCUCAGUGGUAGAGCAUCGAACGCUUAAUUCGGAGGUCGUAAGUUCGAUUCCUGCUCACGGGA